UACGAAGGGGGCUAGCGUUGCUCGGAAUCACUGGGCGUAAAGGGCGCGUAGGCGGCCAUUCAAGUCGGAGGUGAAAGCCCAGGGCUCAACCCUGGAAUUGCCUUCGAUACUGUCUGGCUAGAGACCGGAAGAGGUAAGUGGAACUGCGAGUGUAGAGGUGAAAUUCGUAGAUAUUCGCAAGAACACCAGUGGCGAAGGCGGCUUUCUGGACAGUGACUGACGCUGAGACGCGAAAGCGUGGGGAGCAAACAGG
rnacentral:rRNA from 1 species